rnacentral:rRNA from 1 species
UGGGGAAUAUUGGGCAAUGGGCGCAAGCCUGACCCAGCAACGCCGCGUGAAGGAAGAAGGCUUUCGGGUUGUAAACUUCUUUUCUCAGGGACGAAGCAAGUGACGGUACCUGAGGAAUAAGCCACGGCUAACUACGUGCCAGCAGCCGCACACGUCUCCUACGGGAGGCAGCAGUCGGGAAUUUUGCGCAAUGGAGGAAACUCUGACGCAGUGACGCCGCGUAUAGGAAGAAGGUUUUCGGA